rnacentral:lncRNA from 1 species
GUUUCAAAGGUUCAGUCCAUUAUCAUUAUGGUGGGAGGCAUGGUGGCAGGCAGGUAUAUAUGGUGCUGGAGAAGAGUAGCUGAGAGUUCUACAUCUGGAUCCACAAAGACCACUGAGCCUGUCCUGGGUUUCUGAACCCUCAGAGCUCACCCCAAUUGACACACUUUCUCCAACAAGGCCACACCUCCUAAAAACAGUGCACUCUCUAUUGACCAAGCAUUCACACAUAUGCGGCUAGGGAAGCCAGUCUUCUUUUUCUUUUGGUGGGGGGGGGGGGGAGAGGGGCUUUCCGAGACAGGGUUUCUCUGUGUAGCCCUGGCUGUCCUGGAACUCACUCUGUAGACCAGGCUGGCCUCAAACUCAGAAAUCCGCCUGCCUCUGCCUCUCAAGUGCUGGGAUUAAAGGCGUGCACCACCACUGCCUGGCGCACCACCACUGCCUGGCCUGGAAGCCAUUCUUCUUCAAACCACUAUAGACAGCUCAGCAGUUAAGGACUUUUGCAGCUCUUCCAGAGGACCUGGGUUCAAUUCCCAACGCCCACAUGACACCUCACAGCCAUCUGUGACUGUGGCUCCAGAAGAUUCAAUAUCCUUUUCUGCACUCUGCAGGCCUUGGGCAUGCAUAUGGUCCACAAACAUACACUCAAGUAGAACACGUGUGUGUGUGUGUGUGUGUGUGUGUGUGUGUGUGUGUUGUCAUAAAAUAAAUCAUUAAAAAACCCUUCAGGGGCUGGUGAGAUGGCUCAGUGGGUAAGAGCACCCGACUGCUCUUCCGAAGGUCCAGAGUUCAAAUCCCAGCAACCACAUGGUGGCUCAUAACCAUCUGUAACAAGAUCUGACGCCCUCUUCUGGAGUGUCUGAGGACAGCUACAGUGUACUUACAUAUAAUAAAUAAAUAAAUCUUAAAAAAAAAAAAAAAAAAAAACCCUUCAGGUUGUGUUCAAGGAUGUAAAACUCGCCUCUUCCUAGUCCUGGCCAAUAUUAGAAAUAACAAGUGGCAAAGGCGAGGAGAGAGUGGAACCCUUGUGUAGUGUAGAUGGGAGCACAGAAUGGUGCAGCUGCUAUGGAAAUCAGUGCAAUGAUUACUUAAAAAAAUUAAAAAUAGAUUUACCAUAUGAUCUAGAAAUAUCAUUUCUGGGUAUAUAUCAAAAUAACUGAAGGCAAGGGAGUGGAAAGAUUGCUUAGGAGUUAAGAGCACUAAUGCUCUUAGAGAGGACCUGAGUUUAGUUCUCAGAACCCCUAUGUAACUUUCUCUUCUGACUUCUUCAGACACCUGACUGCACAUGAUGUACAUACACUGGCGGAUGCACGCACGCACGCACACACAAUGAUGUAUAUACACUGGCAAGCACACACUGAGGUACAUACACUGGCACAUAUACAUAUACACAUACACUGAUGUACAUACACUGGCACACAUACAUACACACAAAAACUAAUAAAUAAUAAAUCUUUUAAAAAUUGAAAGCAAGACCUCAAAACCAGCCUACAGUUCCAUCAACAGAUAAACCAGGAAAAAACCAUGAAGCCCAGCAUUAUGGAACAUGCCUAUAGCCUCAACAGUCCAGAGGUUAAGGCAGGAGGCCUGGCAUAUGUUGUGGGUUACCCUGGUACUGUUUGUAUUUUGAUGUUAAUUCUGCUUUCUCAAGAGAGGCUGCCACUAACAAGGAGUAUAUCACGUAUAGUGAUAGAUCUGCCCAAACUAGGCAUAUAACUUAUGCAAUGGUUUGUAUAUGGUUGGCCCAGGGAGUGGCACUAUUAGAAGGCAUGUACCUGUUGGAGUAGGUGUGGCCUUGUUAGAGUAGGUGUGUCACUGUGGGUGUGGACUUUAAGACCCUCACCCUAGCUGCCUGAAAGUCAGUCUUCCACUCUCAGCCUUCAGAUGAAGAUGUAGAACUCUCAGUUCCUCCGGCAUCAUGCCUGCCUGGAGGCUUCCAUAUUCCUGCUUUGAUGAUACUGAACUGACCCUGUAAGCCAGCCCCAAUUAAAUGUUGUCUUUUAUAAGACUUGCCUUGGUCAUGGUAUCUGUUCUCAGCAGUAAAACCCUAACUAAGACACUUGUAAUAAUUCAGUUGUGUGUGUUUUCAUAUGGGUUUAUUGGGGUAAGAAAUUACCACAACAGGCACAAGUUCAAAUACAGCCUAGGAAACAGUGUCAGACCCUGUCUCAAACAAAAGAAGUGCUAAGUAUACAUUCUGUGAAAAGGAACAAGGCCCAGUAAGAUGGCUCAGCAGGGAAACAUCUUCCACUCAAGCCUGACUAGGGAGUUCAGUCCUUAGGACCCACAGCGUAGAAGGAGAGAACUAACACCCCCAAGUUCUUCCCUGACUUUCCCAAGAACACUGUGGUAUGUGACAUGUAUAAACAUACUCAUUUACUCUCACACACACACACACACAACACACACACACACACACACACACACACACAAUUUUUAAAAGAAUGAAAUUAUGACACUUGCAGAAAAGUGGAUAGAACUUGGAUAUCAUUAUACUAGGAAAAACGCUCUGUGUUUUCCUUUCACAUGUCAAAUUACAUUUAAAUAGUGAGUUCCAGAGCAGUCAGAGCUAUAUAGUAAGAACCUGUCUC